CCAGACUCCUACGGGAGGCAGCAGUGGGGAAUAUUGCACAAUGGGGGAAACCCUGAUGCAGCGACGCCGCGUGAGCGAGGAAGUAUUUCGGUAUGUAAAGCUCUGUCAGCAGGGAAGAAGAAUGACGGUACCUGAAGAAGAAGCACCGGCUAAAUACGUGCCAGCAGCCGCGGUAAUACGUAUGGUGCAAGCGUUAUCCGGAUUUACUGGGUGUAAAGGGAGCGCAGGCGGUUCUGCAAGUCUGAUGUGAAAGCCCGGGGCUCAACCGCGGGACUGCAUUGGAAACUGCGGGACUGGAGUGUCGGAGGGGUAAGCGGAAUUCCUGGUGUAGCGGUGAAAUGCGUAGAUAUCAGGAGGAACACCGGCGGCGAAGGCGGCCUGCUGGACCGUAACUGACGUUGAGGCUCGAAAGCGUGGGGAGCAAACAGGAUUAGAUACCCCAGUAGGC
rnacentral:rRNA from 1 species